GCCACUCGGCUUGAUCUCCUCCCUAGCUAGCUCGAGCGCUUCGUGUGCUUCGCCGGCUAUCCUCGCGUGAUGCUCCGGCCGACGCCGGCGCGCAAUAGGAUCACGUGGUGAGGUUGUGUUUGGAGAGGAGGCGGCGGAUUUAAGUGGAGCACGCUCAAGAUCAACUGCUGAUGAAGAUGCGACGCCGUGAUGAGUGGGAGAGCGACAUGGAGCGACGGUUUCCAACACGAUUUUUCCCCACUCGAGCAAUCCCCAGCCGUGAGAUCGCCCUGGUCGAGCUCCUACAUGGCCGACGGCUGUUGUGAGGGUCCGCUCCUGCUGCGGUGUCGCGGUGUCGCGGCGGCGCUCCGUCUCGCCUGACGCAGCUCCGCAUCUGGAAGCGCCCCCGGCCCGACAACUUCGCUUCACGACCUGCAACGGUGCUCUGUAUCGUGGGCAGCAGUGGCUCCAGGUUUGUCAUCUCCGCAUGCCCAGACGAAGAUCCGUUGCGUUUCCUCGGCAGACGCCCCGCCGCCGUUGGUUCAUUAUCUUGCCGUGCCCGGCCGGAGGCCCCCGCGCGCUGCCUUGGCAGACUCCCCGCGCUGCUGGCGGUUUUUCAUCUCCGCGUGUGCGGCCGCCGGCCGGAACAUGGAUUGGUUGCAUGGCCCGCUGGCCGAGCACGGCGGCGGCAAGGCCAUGUGCUGCACCAUGGUCGGGAUGCGGUCUUGGUCUGGGCAACGCCAACUCCGCUCAGUGCAAUAGGCUCACGUGGAGAGUUUGGUGCUCUGGUAUGAAAUCCUCCACAUCUCCCCCUAUCUCAAUCCCUUCCUCUCUGUUGCAUCUCACCUCCUCUCUCUCUCUCUCGGACGGGACGGCAAUUGACCACGUGACCGACGGUGACACUAACGGCUGUGCGUGCCUAGGUAGGCCUGCCAGACCACUCCCUCCUCCAUCCCCGCAAGGCCAACAAGCUACCAAGCGAGGAUGAAUUGGAUCGAGAGAUGCACAACCCAGUCUGAGGAAUGACAAGAUCCACCGAGGGCUAUCAAAAUGCAUCCUUCUUCAUUUCUCUUUGCCUUGAAUCAUGUUGUAUCGAAAUAUUAUGGCUCACACACUUGCUCUUCAGGAGAACGUAUUAUCACUGAGUGUUUUGAACUUUUUUGCUUAUGAACACAGAACUCCAUCCAUGUGAUGUAAGAUGUGCACAACAUAAGAAAUAUCGGUAAUAAAAAGGUGAGCUAUCUUACAUGCU